rnacentral:rRNA from 1 species
GAUGAACGCUGGCGGCGUGCCUAAUACAUGCAAGUCGAGCGAACGGACGAGAAGCUUGCUUUUCUGAUGUUAGCGGCGGACGGGUGAGUAACACGUGGAUAACCUACCUAUAAGACUGGGAUAACUUCGGGAAACCGGAGCUAAUACCGGAUAAUAUUUUGAACCGCAUGGUUCAAAAGUGAAAGACGGUCUUGCUGUCACUUACAGAUGGAUCCGCGCUGCAUUAGCUAGUUGGUAAGGUAACGGCUUACCAAGGCAACGAUGCAUAGCCGACCUGAGAGGGUGAUCGGCCACACUGGAACUGAGACACGGUCCAGACUCCUACGGGAGGCAGCAGUAGGGAAUCUUCCGCAAUGGGCGAAAGCCUGACGGAGCAACGCCGCGUGAGUGAUGAAGGUCUUCGGAUCGUAAAACUCUGUUAUUAGGGAAGAACAUAUGUGUAAGUAACUGUGCACAUCUUGACGGUACCUAAUCAGAAAGCCACGGCUAACUACGUG